AAUUUCAGGUUCUUUCAGUUUUGAUUUUUUGUAUCCAGCUGAAGAAAAAGUAAUUGAAGCUUCAAGAGUCACGAAAUGCUCUAAGAGAAGUUGUGAAGCUGCUUGAACAAACCGUUAACAAGUUCCAAACUCAGAGUGUGAGCUUCCAAAAAGAGUCUGCUGAUGUGUAUACCAUAAUUCAAGUCCCUCUCUUUGGACUCUGGGGAUUCAAGUGUUAUUAUAGCUGCAUAGUAAGAGGUUGAUGAGAUAAUCAAAACUUCAGAGAAUCACGAGUCUGUGGAACUGGAAGCAAGUUUGGUUCAGAUAGGUGACAAUGUGGUUCUGCAAAAGUUGCUUGUAAGUUGAUAUAUUUGAUCUGAAAUGUGAUUGAUUUUAAAAAUACUAUAAGUUGAGGAAUGCUUAGUUGGGUAUAUCACUCUGUUUAUUUUCUACCUGUGGGGUCCGAGAUAUUUUGACCCUCAAGAUAGUAGUUGGGGAGCAUGCUAUAAUUGCUGUGAGGAAGGUCACUCUGCUGUAAACUGUCCAGCAGCGAAGCAGAUGAAACAGUGCUACGU